rnacentral:rRNA from 1 species
CAACAGCGUAUAUUAAAGUUGUUGCAGUUAGAACGCUCGUAGUCGGAUUUCGGGGCGGGCCGACCGGUCUGCCGAUGGGUAUGCACUGGCCGGCGCGUCCUUCCUCUCGGAGACCGUUCCUACUCUUAACUGAGCGGGAGCGGGAGACGGGACUUUUACUUUGAAAAAAUCAGAGUGUUUCAAGCAGGCAGCUCGCUCUUGCAUGGAUUAGCAUGGGAUAAUGAAAUAGGACUUUGGUGCUAUUUUGUUGGUUUCGAACACCGAAGUAAUGAUGAGAAGGGACAGUCAGGGGCACUCGUAUUCCGCCGAGAGAGGUGAAAUUCUCAGACCAGCGGAAGACGAACCACUGCGAAAGCAUUUGCCAGGGAUGUUUUCACUGA